rnacentral:rRNA from 1 species
ACGAACGCUGGCGGCGUGCUUAACACAUGCAAGUCGAACGGAAAGGCCCCAGCUUGCUGGGGUACUCGAGUGGCGAACGGGUGAGUAACACGUGGGUGAUCUGCCCUGCACUCUGGGAUAAGCCUGGGAAACUGGGUCUAAUACCGGAUAGGACCGUGCUUUAGUGUGUGCGGUGGAAAGUUUUUCGGUGCAGGAUGAGCCCGCGGCCUAUCAGCUUGUUGGUGGGGUAAUGGCCUACCAAGGCGGCGACGGGUAGCCGGCCUGAGAGGGUGUACGGCCACAUUGGGACUGAGACACGGCCCAGACUCCUACGGGAGGCAGCAGUGGGGAAUAUUGCACAAUGGGCGCAAGCCUGAUGCAGCGACGCCGCGUGGGGGAUGACGGCCUUCGGGUUGUAAACCCCUUUCGGCAGGGACGAAGCGUUUGUGACGGUACCUGCAUAAGAAGCACCGGCUAACUACGUG